GGAAUUCGAUUAACGCGAAGAACCUUACCUGGGUUUGAACUUCAGGUGUAAGGCUCAGAGAUGAGCCCCUCCCUUCGGGGACACCUGGAGAGGUGCUGCAUGGCUGUCGUCAGCUCGUGUCGUGAGAUGUUGGGUUAAGUCCCGCAACGAGCGCAACCCUUGCUCAUAGUUGCUAACGCGUAAUGGCGAGCACUCUAUGGGGACUGCCGGUGAUAAACCGGAGGAAGGUGGGGAUGACGUCAAGUCCUCAUGGCCUUUAUGUCCAGGGCUACACACGUGCUACAAUGGACGGUACAAAGAGUCGCGAUCCCGCGAGGGGGAGCUAAUCUCAAAAAGCCGUUCUCAGUUCGGAUUGCACUCUGCAACUCGAGUGCAUGAAGCUGGAAUCGCUAGUAAUCGCGGAUCAGCACGCCGCGGUGAAUACGUUCCCGGGCCUUGUCACACCGAAUCACUA
rnacentral:rRNA from 1 species